CCUACGGGAGGCAGCAGUGGGGAAUUUUGGACAAUGGGCGCAAGCCUGAUCCAGCAAUGCCGCGUGCAGGAUGAAGGCCUUCGGGUUGUAAACUGCUUUUGUACGGAACGAAACGGCGAGCUCUAAUAAAGUUCGCUAAUGACGGUACCGUAAGAAUAAGCACCGGCUAACUACGUGCCAGCAGCCGCGGUAAUACGUAGGGUGCAAGCGUUAAUCGGAAUUACUGGGCGUAAAGCGUGCGCAGGCGGUGAUGUAAGACAGAUGUGAAAUCCCCGGGCUCAACCUGGGACCUGCAUUUGUGACUGCAUCGCUAGAGUACGGUAGAGGGGGAUGGAAUUCCGCGUGUAGCAGUGAAGUGCGUAGAUAUGCGGAGGAACACCGAUGGCGAAGGCAAUCCCCUGGACCUGUACUGACGCUCAUGCACGAAAGCGCGGGGAGCAAACAGGAUUAGAUACCCUGGUAGUCCACGCCCUAAACGAUGUCAACUGGUUGUUGGGUCUUCACUGACUCAGUAACGAAGCUAACGCGUGAAGUUGACCGCCUGGGGAGUACGGCCGCAAAGGUUGAAACUUAAAUGAAAUUGACGGCUGAGAGNGCGAGACGACACGAGGAGGAG
rnacentral:rRNA from 1 species